rnacentral:rRNA from 1 species
AUUGAACGCUGGCGGAAUGCUUUACACAUGCAAGUCGAGCGGCAGCACGGGGGCAACCCUGGUGGCGAGCGGCGAACGGGUGAGUAACACAUCGGAACAUGCCCAGUCGUGGGGGAUAACACUUCGAAAGAAGUGCUAAUACCGCAUACGUCCUGAGGGAGAAAGCGGGGGAUCGCAAGACCUCGCGCGAUUGGAGUGGCCGAUGUCAGAUUAGCUAGUUGGUGGGGUAAAGGCCUACCAAGGCAACGAUCUGUAGCUGGUCUGAGAGGAUGAUCAGCCACACUGGGACUGAGACACGGCCCAGGCUCCUACGGGAGGCAGCAGUGGGGAAUUUUGGACAAAGGGGGCAACCCUGAUCCAGCCAUUCCGCGUGAGUGAAGAAGGCCUUCGGGUUGUAAAGCUCUUUCGGCAGGAACGAAACGGUGAGCUCUAACAUAGCUUGCUAAUGACGGUACCUGAAGAAGAAGCACCGGCUAACUACGUG